rnacentral:Y_RNA from 1 species
GGCUGGUCCGAUGGUAAUGGGUUAUCAGAACUUACUAACAUCAGUGUCAUUAAAGUUGGUAUUUGACCCCCACCCCCCCACUGCUAAAUUUGACUAGCUUUAA